CCUACGGGGGGCAGCAGUCGGGAAUAUUGCGCAAUGGAGGCAACUCUGACGCAGUGACGCCGCGUAUAGGAAGAAGGUUUUCGGAUUGUAAACUAUUGUCCACAGGGAAGAUACAAGACUGUACCUGUGAAGAAAGCUCCGGCUAACUACGUGCCAGCAGCCGCGGUAAUACGUAGGGAGCAAGCGUUAUCCGGAAUUAUUGGGUGUAAAGGGUGCGUAGACGGGAUGACAAGUUGGUUGUGAAACCCCUCGGCUCAACUGAGGAACUGCAACCAAAACUAUUAUUCUUGAGUGCAGGAGAGGAAAGUGGAAUUCCUAGUGUAGCGGUGAAAUGCGUAGAUAUUAGGAAGAACACCGGUGGCGAAGGCGACUUUCUGGACUGUAACUGACGUUGAGGCAC
rnacentral:rRNA from 1 species